AUGGACAGACAAGGGAUCCGGCCUCCCCUUCCUUCCUCUUCUACAUCAGUCAUCGCCGCCAUCACUGAAUAAGGAUUAAGAUAUCGAUCAACCACUACAGGUAUGUUCUUGAUCUUCAAAUUAACUCCAUGUGUAAGAGUAUGGUGACGGUCGUGGUGGUGGUAGCCUUAAGAGUAACGAAUCUGUAUGUUCUUUGACUCUAUCCUUUUUUUGGUAUGAAAACCCUAACUCGCAUCUUUGAACAAUCGAUGCCAAACCCUCAAGGUAAGUUUGAAAUUAAGUAAUCUACGCCACUGCAUGUGAUUUUCAUUUGAUUUUCAAUGUUCAACGCGGAUUUUAUUCGACACCACGAUGUUUGAUUUACUAACAUUCAUCUACUAUCUGUGUUUGUUCAUGGAUUUGGGGUUUUUGAUGAUUCUCGACUGUUACAACUUGCGUUUCUGUUGAUUAUCUUCUUGGAUUGGUUGAAGUCCAAGCAGCUUCCUUUUGUGUGGGCGUUUGAAGACGUCUUAUGAGGGUUCCGGUUGGAUCAUGGCUGGGAGUUUGAAGAUGGAUGAUGUUGUUGCUGCAUGGAAGAUGGCUGAUAGGGUUUGAAGAUGGAUAAAAUUAAAUUGUCAUUUUACAGAAACGGUUCGGGUCGAACAUACAUCUGGUGGGUGGAGAUGGAUGGAUUCCUGCUUAUUUUACUGUUCGCGUCGAAACGGACAAACGAUACUGGAUGAAAUGGUACACGUCGAAACGUUACGGGUCGAAACGGCUCGCGUCGAACCCGUCUCGGUCCGAAACUUAAUUAUUUUGUCGGAUUAUCCCUUCAUGUGGUGGUGGUGUUUUUGCUGAUGCUGCUGCAAAGUUUCGAUAUCGUGAUGCGUUUUGAUGCUAUUGGAUGUACUUAUAACUACGUUUGUUAUGUUGAGGAAGAAGGUAGUAGGAAUGUUAGUUUAAAGUUAAAAAAAUGGGAUCUGGAAUGCGAGUGAAGGAUUAUUCGUAACCGUGGUCUUGAAAGCAGAAAUCAGAAUAAUGAAUCAUAAACUAAAGUUCGAGUUAUGUCAGGAACCUACUACAUCUUACAGAAGAGACUAAUUAUCCAAGUUUGACAAAAAUGGUGGACAUGAUAGAAUAAGGCCAUUGAAUAUGACAAUUUCAUCGAGUAUUAAUUUUUUUUUGAGUUUUAUUUUUUUUAAUAUUGUCAUAUCUAACGAUGUUUAGGUUUUAUAAUGAUGAUUUCAGUUGCUGCUUGAUCGUUAUGGUAUCUAACAAACUAUUUGAAAACUACUAUUCUUUUGGCAGAAUGAUAGUCGGGUAAUGGGUCAUAACGGCCUGGGUCAAAUUUUGUUAACCUGCAACAUUUUUCUCCGUUUUUGGUCAGACUAGGUCGGGUAACGGGUCAUAUAUACUAUGGUCAGAUUAGAUCUUGACCCCCUAGAAUUAUUGUCCAUUUUUUUCUCAAAACUGGUCGAGUCAGGCAAUGGUUCACACGGGUUUGGGGCGACUGGGUUGACCUGCAAACAUUUUUCUCCAGUGUUGGUCAAAUGAGGUCGGGUGGUCAAAUGAGGUCGGGUAACUGGUCAUAUCAGAUUAGUCAUAUGAGACUUGAUCAACCAGGUUGGGUAACGUCAUAUGAUUAUGAGCCUUUGUCAAACGGUCUUCUCUAUAUUUAAAGAAGAGCGAAAGGAAGAGGGCCAAACACCUAUGUGGCAAGUGAGUAUUGGUUGGGUUAUGUUUGCACGUGUUUGUUUGUUGCCUUGCCAAGUUUCUCUUCUGAUGUCUUCCAGUGACACUUAUUAUGUUAGAUGAGACAUUACUUUCGCUCCCAUCGUCUCUGUCUCUUCUACUCAUGUACAGACUGUUUUGGAGACAUUAAAUUGAAGUAGUGGUAGUCUGAUCCGCCAAUGACGAUGGUCUUUUAGGGUUCCUACCGAGGAAGCACAGGCACCGAUAAUGGUCGUAGGGGUAACCAUCAACCCGGCGAUUCGAGAUAUUGUUUUCAAUAAUAAAUCAUAGUUAAUAUCCAAAGUUAUGAAUUUACUGAAGAUAUUCGGGUAGAUGGGUUUCAACCGGAGUUGGUAUUGGCGAUCACUCAAUUUUCAACUCUGGUAGAUUUUUGUUUUCACAUAGUUGAUCAAAAUUUAAUUAGGGUUAUUGAAAAAAUAUACCUUAAUCAUGGUUUCACCACAUUAUGUAUUUAUAACUUUAUGUAAGAGUUUUUUUGUUUCUUUUGUUCAAUGAUAUUGAUUUGUUUUUGUGA
rnacentral:lncRNA from 1 species